AUCCUUUUCAUUUUGCUAUGCCAAAAGUAUCAUUCCAACGUAAAGAAAAAUGGCAAAACGAUUCUUCGCUGGAGUCUGAUUGGCCAAGCCUACAGUAGAAUUAGGAAUGCUGUACUAACCAACCAAUUGGUCAUGAGCAAAAUAAAUAUACAGCUGGCAGAGAUCAACCAAGCAUCUCUUACAAAAUGGCACAAUGAUCGCAGGAGAGGGCAGUUUUGGAGCGAGGUCUGCCCACUGUGGAAGUCGUGGAAACAAUUGCUGUGCCGCUACCGGGGGUUGUACCCUUACAACCAACCUUUUUACAAGUCCCAACAAUUCGAACUCUUCACGAGUUCAGCCUUCCAGAAAACACAAUCGGUCAAGUACGUACGCGCUCAUCGCAACAACAAAGUCAGCAACACCCUCAAUUAUGUAGUCAACCACCCACUCAAACAUGUAGCCAACCCCGUACACCACCAACAACACAAUUUAUGCCCCUAUUGCUUCCAUCUUCUCCAUCUAUAAAUUUCACCCCACCAACAGCUCAUAUUUUUAAAAGCACGAAGAGUUAUAGGAAGAAGAUAAAUGAACAAGAACUUGCUGAUCAGCCCACGUGCCGAUACAAGGAGCGGAUACGCCCUUCAUUCUGCUUAAAGUGUGGUGAAUUACGAACUGGUGACCAUAAGCAGUAUUAUGGGAAUUGGUAUUGUCCUACUAUGGACCAGUCGUACGUAUUACAAUGCCAACAAAUUAAUUGUUCAAUCGUUGAAUAUCGUAAUGUGCACAAAGAUGAACAUCUUGCUUUCACAGAUAAGAUAUUUGCUUGUUUUGUUUGUUCAUCAAAGAUUGAAAAGAAAUUAAUACACUUAAAAAGCCGUAAAAUCUAGAAGACCGUAUUCAAAAACAUUGACUUGCGUACCAAAUAUACUGAUUUUCAGUUCCUGUUUUUAGUUAUGAAAUUCAAUAAUUUUACCUAUCUAUUUGCAAAAUAGUUUCCUUUAGGCCAAAAUAGAACCUGUAGAGUUAACUAAGUGGAUAGAUAACAUGAAGAAACUGCCACUUCAAACAGUAACCAUAAAAUGAAGUAGAAUUUGAUCUGAUCUAUUUGCUGAAAAGAUGAAGAGAUGAUCAGAUGCACUUCAUCAUUCUUGUAUUAACAACACCAGAUGUUGGUUAUUGACAUGAAAAAAAUCCAAUGCCAACUGGUAUUUAAUUUGGUUAUAAGAUUUAUUAUUGAGAUGAAAGCUGUGCACUUAUAUUGAAAAUUGUGCACUUAUAUUGCCAAUUGGAAAGACAUAAAACAGAGAAAAAGAAGAGAAGAAAUAUUAAAAACGCAAUUUUGUAUUCACUGACUUUAAAUAUAAUUUUAAAUUCCACUGUAAUACAAGUCACAAGUGUUUUUAUGAUUGUUUGCAUUUUGCCCAUUCCAUAUAUCAAUACAACAAAAUGAAAAU